CCUACGGGUGGCAGCAGUCGAGAAUCAUUCACAAUGGGGGAAACCCUGAUGGUGCGACGCCGCGUGGGGGAAUGAAGGUCUUCGGAUUGUAAACCCCUGUCAUGUGGGAGCAAAUUAAAAAGAUAGUACCACAAGAGGAAGAGACGGCUAACUCUGUGCCAGCAGCCGCGGUAAUACAGAGGUCUCAAGCGUUGUUCGGAAUCACUGGGCGUAAAGCGUGCGUAGGCUGUUUCGUAAGUCGUGUGUGAAAGGCGCGGGCUCAACCCGCGGACGGCACAUGAUACUGCGAGACUAGAGUAAGGGAGGGGGAACCGGAAUUCUCGGUGUAGCAGUGAAAUGCGUAGAAAUCGAGAGGAACACUCGUGGCGAAGGCGGGUUCCUGGACAUUAACUGACGCUGAGGCACGAAGGCCAGGGGAGCGAAAGGGAUUAGAUACCCUAGUAGUC
rnacentral:rRNA from 1 species